rnacentral:rRNA from 1 species
AUCUGCCCUUCACUCCGGGACAAGCCCUGGAAACGGGGUCUAAUACCGGAUAACACUUCUUCGGGCAUCCGAAGAGGUUGAAAGCUCCGGCGGUGAAGGAUGAGCCCGCGGCCUAUCAGCUUGUUGGUGGGGUAGUGGCCCACCAAGGCGACGACGGGUAGCCGGCCUGAGAGGGCGACCGGCCACACUGGGACUGAGACACGGCCCAGACUCCUACGGGAGGCAGCAGUGGGGAAUAUUGCACAAUGGGCGAAAGCCUGAUGCAGCGACGCCGCGUGAGGGAUGACGGCCUUCGGGUUGUAAACCUCUUUCAGCAGGGAAGAAGCGCAAGUGACGGUACCUGCAGAAGAAGCGCCGGCUAACUACGUGCCAGCAGCCGCGGUAAUACGUAGGGCGCAAGCGUUGUCCGGAAUUAUUGGGCGUAAAGAGCUCGUAGGCGGCCUGUCGCGUCGGAUGUGAAAGCCCGGGGCUUAACCCCGGGUCUGCAUUCGAUACGGGCAGGCUAGAGUGUGGUAGGGGAGAUCGGAAUUCCUGGUGUAGCGGUGAAAUGCGCAGAUAUCAGGAGGAACACCGGUGGCGAAGGCGGAUCUCUGGGCCAUUACUGACGCUGAGGAGCGAAAGCCGUGGGGAGCGAACAGGAUUUAGAUACCCUGGUAGUCCACGCCGUAAAACGUUGGGAACUAGGUGUUGGCGACAUUCC